rnacentral:rRNA from 1 species
ACGCUCGACACCUACGGGAGCAGCAGUCGGGAAUAUUGCGCAAUGGAGGAAACUCUGACGCAGUGACGCCGCGUAUAGGAAGAAGGUUUUCGGAUUGUAAACUAUUGUCGUUAGGGAAGAGAAAGGACAGUACCUAAGGAGGAAGCUCCGGCUAACUACGUGUCAGCAGCCGCGGUAAUCUGAGGCGGGCUGGACAAGGC